rnacentral:rRNA from 1 species
AUGAAUAGUAACAGGGCCCCUGGUCCUGACAACAUUCCAGCGGAGUUCUACCAACACUGUUGGGAGAUUGUGAAAAGUGAUAUUAUGAAACUAUUUGAUGCUAUGUAUGAAGGAACAGUUGAUGUUCAAAGACUAAACUAUGGGGUCAUUACUCUUAUUCCUAAAGUCAAUGGUGCGAACAAAAUACAACAAUUUAGGCCUAUAUGUCUACUUAGAUGCCCAUAUAAGUUGAUCACAAAGGUGCUAGAUAACAGAGCUGCCCCUUAUGCUGAUAUCCUCUUUAGCAAGCACCAAAAUGCCUUCAUUAAGCAUAGAAGUAUCAUGGAUGGGGUGCUGACUUUACAUGAGGUCUUGCAUCAUACUCAUAUUAAGAAGAAAUUUGGCAUCAUUAUCAAACUUGAUUUUGAAAAAGCCUACGAUAAGGUUAACUGGGAUUUCUUACUUAAGUGCCUUGAGAUCAGAGGCUUUGGCAAAACUUGGUGUAGUUGGAUGGAGAAAAUUCUCCACAAUGGCACGGUUAGUGUGAAGUUAAAUAAUACCACGGGACCUUACUUCUAG